GGAGAAGGUAGAAGCUUGCUUUUACUGGAGACUGGCGGACGGGUGAGUAACGCGUAGAUAACCUGCCUAUAGCUGGGGGAUAACACUGCGAAAGUGGUGCUAAUACCGCAUAAUGCAGCGGGGCCGCAUGGCCAUAGUUGUUAAAGGUUUCGGCCGGCUAUAGAUGGGUCUGCGUGCUAUUAGUUAGUUGGUAGGGUAACGGCCUACCAAGGCGAUGAUAGCUAGGGGGUCUGAGAGGAUGAUCCCCCACACUGGGACUGAGACACGGCCCAGACUCCUACGGGAGGCAGCAGUGAGGAAUCUUGCGCAAUGGGCGAAAGCCUGACGCAGCCACGCCGCGUGCCGGAUGAAGGCCCUAUGGGUUGUAAACGGCUUUUACUAGGGAAGAACGAGAGGGUUUCGAUCUUCUGUGACGGUACCUAGUGAAUAAGCACCGGCUAACUCCGUGCCAGCAGCCGCGGUAAU
rnacentral:rRNA from 1 species